rnacentral:rRNA from 1 species
GGGGAAUAUUGCACAAUGGGCGCAAGCCUGAUGCAGCAACGCCGCGUGAGGGACGACGGCCUUCGGGUUGUAAACCUCUUUUAGUAGGGAAGAAGCGAAAGUGACGGUACCUGCAGAAAAAGCACCGGCUAACUACGUGCCAGCAGCCGCGGUAAUACGUAGGGUGCAAGCGUUAUCCGGAAUUAUUGGGCGUAAAGAGCUCGUAGGCGGUUUGUCGCGUCUGCUGUGAAAACUGGGGGCUCAACCCCCAGCCUGCAGUGGCUACGGGCAGACUAGAGUGCGGUAGGGGAGAUUGGAAUUCCUGGUGUAGCGGUGGAAUGUGCAGAUAUCAGGAGGAACACCGAUGGCGAAGGCAGAUCUCUGGGCCGUAACUGACGCUGAGGAGCGAAAGCAUGGGGAGCGAACA